rnacentral:rRNA from 1 species
AACGAACGCUGGCGGCAGGCUUAACACAUGCAAGUCGAACGCUCGUAGCAAUACGGGAGCGGCAGACGGGUGAGUAAUGCGUGGGAACGUGCCCAAAGGUACGGAACAACUCCGGGAAACUGGAGCUAAUACCGUAUGUGCCCGAAAGGGGAAAGAUUUAUCGCCUUUGGAUCGGCCCGCGUCGGAUUAGCUAGUUGGUGGGGUAAUGGCCUACCAAGGCGACGAUCCGUAGCUGGUCUGAGAGGAUGAUCAGCCACACUGGGACUGAGACACGGCCCAGACUCCUACGGGAGGCAGCAGUGGGGAAUAUUGGACAAUGGGCGCAAGCCUGAUCCAGCCAUGCCGCGUGAGUGAUGAAGGCCUUAGGGUUGUAAAGCUCUUUCGCCAGGGACGAUAAUGACGGUACCUGGAUAAGAAGCCCCGGCUAACUUCGUGCCAGCCGCCGCUGUAA